GCUGUGAUUGUAUAGUGAUUAAUACUCUGCGUUGUGGCCGCAGCAACCCCGCUUCGAAUCUGCGUCACGGCA
rfam:Danio rerio chromosome 3, GRCz11 reference primary assembly.